rnacentral:ncRNA from 2 species
UAACCAAACGUGGGGUGCCAUUCCGUUGAAUGAGCUGAGAUUAGACCCGUAUAACCUGAUGCAGGUAAUGCUGCCGUAGGAAGUGCUAACGAGUAAUAAU